CAAGGAAUUUUCCACAAUGGGCGCAAGCCUGACGCAGCAACGCCGCGUGCGGGAAGAAGGCCUUCGGGUCGUAAACCGCUUUCAGGAGGGACGAAGCUUCCGAGGUUAAUAGCCUACGGGGUGACGGUACCUCCCGAAGAAGGCCCGGCUAACUACGUGCCAGCAGCCGCGGUGAUACGUAGGGUCCGAGCGUUGUCCGGAAUCAUUGGGCGUAAAGAGCGUGUAGGCGGCUUGGUAGGUCCCGUGUUAAAGCCUGCGGCUCAACCGCAGAAUCGCACGGGAAACCCCCUGGCUAGAGUCCGGAAGAGGAGAGCGGAAUUCCUGGUGUAGCGGUGAAAUGCGCAGAUAUCAGGAAGAACACCCGUGGCGAAGGCGGCUCUCUGGGACGGUACUGACGCUGAGACGCGAAAGCGUGGGGAGCGAA
rnacentral:rRNA from 1 species